rnacentral:rRNA from 1 species
UACGAACGGUGCAAACGUUAUUCGGAAUCACUGGGCUUAAAGGGUGCGUAGGCGGUUUGUUAAGUAGGGUGUGAAAGCCCCCGGCUCAACCGGGGAAUUGCGCCCUAAACUGGCGGACUAGAGUGAGAUAGGGGUGUGCGGAACUUCCGGUGGAGCGGUGAAAUGUGUUGAUAUCGGAAGGAACGCCGGUGGCGAAAGCGGCACACUGGGUCUUAACUGACGCUGAGGCACGAAAGCCAGGGGAGCAAACGGG